rnacentral:rRNA from 1 species
GAUGAACGCUGGCGGCGUGCCUAAUACAUGCAAGUCGAGCGAACAGACGAGGAUCUUGCUCCUCUUACGUUAGCGGCGGACGGGUGAUUCACACGUGGAUAACCGACCUAUAAGACUAGGAUAACUUCGGGAAACCGGAUCUAAUACCGGAUAAUAUAUUGAACCGCAUGGUUCAUUAGUGAAAGCCGUUUUUGCUGUCACUUAUUGAUGUAUCCAGGCCGGAUUAGCUAGUUGGUAGGGUAACGGCUUACCAAGGCGACGAUGCGUAGCUGACCUGAGAGGAUGAUCAGUGAAACUGGAAAUGAGACACGGUCAAGACUCCGACGGGAGGCAGCAGUGGGGAAUAUUGGACAAUGGGCGAAAGCCUGAUCCAGCCAUGACGCGUGUGUGAAGAAGGGCUUCGGAUUGUAAAGCACUUUAAGUUGGGAGGAAGGGCAGUAAGUUAAUACCUUGCUGUUUUGACGUUACCAACAGAAUAAGCACCGGCUAACUUCGUG